rnacentral:rRNA from 2 species
UGAGGAAUAUUGGUCAAUGGGCGCAAGCCUGAACCAGCCAUGCCGCGUGCAGGAUGACGGUCCUAUGGAUUGUAAACUGCUUUUGUACAGGAAGAAACACUCCCUCGUGAGGGAGCUUGACGGUACUGUAAGAAUAAGGAUCGGCUAACUCCGUGCCAGCAGCCGCGGUAAUACGGAGGAUCCAAGCGUUAUCCGGAAUCAUUGGGUUUAAAGGGUCCGUAGGCGGUUUUAUAAGUCAGUGGUGAAAUCUGGUCGCUCAACGAUCAAACGGCCAUUGAUACUGUAGAACUUGAAUUACUUGGAAGUAACUAGAAUAUGUAGUGUAGCGGUGAAAUGCUUAGAGAUUACAUGGAAUACCAAUUGCGAAGGCAGGUUACUACGAGUACAUUGACGCUGAUGGACGAAAGCGUGGGGAGCGAACA